GUGUCUAUGGUGUAGCGGUAACACAACGCUCUGUGGCAGCGUUAUCACCGGUUCGAAUCCGGUUAGACACC
rnacentral:tRNA from 1 species